rnacentral:rRNA from 1 species
GACGAACGCUGGCGGCGUGCUUAACACAUGCAAGUCGAACGAAGAGCGAUGGAAGCUUGCUUCUAUCAAUCUUAGUGGCGAACGGGUGAGUAACGCGUAAUCAACCUGCCCUUCAGAGGGGGACAACAGUUGGAAACGACUGCUAAUACCGCAUACGAUCUAAUCUCGGCAUCGAGGAUAGAUGAAAGGUGGCCUCUACAUGUAAGCUAUCACUGAAGGCGGGGAUUGCGUCUGAUUAGCUAGUUGGAGGGGUAACGGCCCACCAAGGCGAUGAUCAGUAGCCGGUCUGAGAGGAUGAACGGCCACAUUGGGACUGAGACACGGCCCAGACUCCUACGGGAGGCAGCAGUGGGGAAUCUUCCGCAAUGGACGAAAGUCUGACGGGGCAACGCCGCGUGAGUGAUGACGGCCUUCGGGUUGUAAAGCUCUGUUAAUCGGGACGAAAGGCCUUCUUGCGAAUAGUGAGAAGGAUUGACGGUACCGGAAUAGAAAGCCACGGCUAACUACGUG